AGAUUUUUUUCGCUAUCUUUGCUGUGGUAAAAGAAAUUACUACCAGUUAACCUAACUGCUUACCCUUUGAAUAGAUAAUCAUUUACUAAUUAAGAUAUUACAGGCAGCUGGUCACUAGCUACCCUGACACAAUAUGGCAUGCCAUAUGUAUGACUAUCUUGACUGCUUGACUAGAUUUUAGUUAGUUUGGCAGCCUUAGCAAUCAUGGCAGUUGUUAAACUGGUCAAGUCAAAGGUCUCCUUAAAACUGCUAUCCUGCCUGAAAGUGCUCUGUAGGCAGGAUUUUAGAAGGAAUAUUUAAGAAGCAGGAGUGAUCUUCCCCUGGUGUGUUGUGAGCUUGAGCCAGUGUACUGACACAACAGAAUCAAAUCAGGUUGGGGCCAGUUAACAAAGUACAGCUUGUCAAAUGAGCUGCAGUAACGGUGUGUGCUCUUAUGCAAUGCUGCUAAUAUGAACUGCCCUUGUGUAAAUAUGACUCACUGCUAACCUGAUCUUUUUGAAUGAACGUAUCAACUUCUAGUGGGAGGUAAUGGUCCAAUGAUAGUGCUCAAAUACACUGACAUUAUCUCACAGAAAAAAAAAAUCCGUAAGAGAAAUAAGAAGAGAAAGAAACCAUCAAAAUCCAUCUGUGAGUCAGUGGCCUACACCCAGGAGGAGAUUACGAAUAGUAAGAGCAGGACAAAUGCUGAUUCUUAUGCCAGUUCUAAGGACAUCAUGAUUGAAGCCGUGGCAGUUCAGACAGACAUACCUGAUAGGUAGUCAGCCUGCAAUGGAGAAAUCAGAAUACUUGCAGAUGAAGAAGCAGGAAGAAGUUGUUUGACAGCAAAGUUAAAGGUAAAAGAAAGGUCUGCGGGGGAGGAAAAAAAUAAAAGUGACAGAGUCUGAAGAAGGAGGAUUUCAUGGUGGCUGGAUUCUGCUCUUGCCCAUGGGGAGG